AGCGAACGCUGGCGGCAGGCUUAACUCAUGCAAGUCGAGCGGGCACUUUCGGGUGUCAGCGGCGGACGGGUGAGUAACGCGUGGGAACGUGCCCUCUGGUUCGGAAUAACUCAGGGAAACUUGAGCUAAUACCGGAUACGCCCUUUUGGGGAAAGGCUUGCUGCCGGAGGAUCGGCCCGCGUCUGAUUAGCUAGUUGGUGAGGUAACGGCUCACCAAGGCGACGAUCAGUAGCUGGUCUGAGAGGAUGAUCAGCCACACUGGGACUGAGACACGGCCCAGACUCCUACGGGAGGCAGCAGUGGGGAAUAUUGGACAAUGGGCGCAAGCCUGAUCCAGCCAUGCCGCGUGAGUGAUCAAGGCCUUAGGGUUGUAAAGCUCUUUUAUCCGGGACGAUAAUGACGGUACCGGAGGAAUAAGCCCCGGCUAACUUCGUG
rnacentral:rRNA from 1 species